GGAUACCCAGGCAAUCCCCGAAACUACAAUGCCCAAAAUGCUCCAAGUGGGACGCGCCCAGAGUGAAGGAGCAAAGGGGACUCGGCCGCCAUGUUAGGAGUACUGGGACGAUUCCGCGGAGCCGGGCAGAGGUUUUAGGGGAAUGAUUAACAAAGGCGUCCGAAGAAAUCGUUGUUGGAAGGUGACCAAGGUGGAAAGAGACGUUGCUUUGGCCCUGCAAAACUCACUUUGAGGCCAAGCGUGGUUGCUCAGGCCUGUAAUCCCAGCACUUUGGGAGGCCGAGGCAGGUGGAUCACCUGAGGUCAGGAGUUGGAGACCAGCCUGGCCAACACGACAAACCCCGUCUCUACUAAAAAUACAAAAAUUAGCCUGGCAUGGUGGCACACACCUGUAAUUCCAGCUGCUCGGGAGGCUGAAGCAUGAGAAUCACUUGAACCUGGGAGGCAGAGGUUGCAGUGAGCCAAGGUUGCAGUGGAUCAAGAUCACACCACUGCACUCCAGCCUGGGCAAUAGAGUGAGACUCUGUCUCAAGAAGAAGAAAAAGAAAAAAAACUCACUUUAAACUCUGCUAGACCAUUGCCCUUGUAUGUGAAAUUUUAUCUGGAUAGAAGAAGAUGAGGAAAAAAAUUUUCUUGUCUUUUAGUGGAGGAGAAUGACAUGUAAAACAAGUAUUCUUUAAAAAUUCCAAAUAUGAUAUGAGAACUACCCCAUAAAGUUGUGAAGGUCACAUUGGUGAAAGGAAAACUAAGUGCUGUGUAAAUUACAAAGUUGUCUAAGUAUCCACCUGGUCCUUACCUUGCUAUAGAAUCUUUUUUUUUUUUAGACGGAGUCUAGCUCUGUCGCCCAGGCUGGAGUGCAGUGGCGCAAGCUCCGCUUACUGCAAGCUCCGCCUCCUGGGUUCAUGCCAUUCUCCUGCCUCAACCGCCCGAGUAGCUGGGAUUACAGGUGCCCACCACCACGCCCAGCUAAUUUUUUUUUUUUUUUUGUAUUUUUAGUAGAGACGGGGUUUUCCCAUGUUAGCCAGGAUGGUCUUGAUCUCCUGACCUCGUGAUCUGCCCACCUCGGCCUCCCAAGGUGCUGGGAUUACAGGUGUGAGCCACCACGCCCAGCCUACCUUGCUAUAGAAUCUUUAGGCCUAAUAUAGUCUAGCCAGAACAGCUAUUUGGAUGCUUGCCUAAUCUUCAAUACUGGUUUCCCUUUUAUACAUGACUGCAAAACUGACUCUCACCUAGGUUUGUGAUGUUAGAAACUCCAGUUGUUUACUAUUAUUAUUAAAGUGGGAAACGGAGUUCGUUGAUCAAAUGGAUUAAUGUUUUGAGUACUUACUAUACACCAGGGGCUCUUAAAUUUUUACAUAAACUUUCUGGAUGGAGAGUGAUAGAAUCUCCAUUGUUCACUUGCCACAAGCCACACCAUUUGUAGCUAACAUUUGAAUGCUUACUAUGAGCAAAGGCACUGUUCCAAGGGCAUUACAUGCACAUCAUUCAUAUUUCUCAUUUAAUCUUUAUAACAACUCCUUAAAAUACUGGUAGUAUUCUUGUUCCCUAAUUUGUCAAUAAGAAAACUGAAAUUUAGAGAUUAUACAAUUUGCCCAGCACUAUUGGAAAGCUGGGACUUUGAAACCUGGCUGAUUUGACUCCAAAGUCUGCACUCUAUUCCAACAGACUGCCAGUGCCUCCAGAAUUAAUUAGCAUUAAUAUUUUCUGUUGUUUAUGAUCUAAGUAUGGCUGUCCAUGGCAGGGAGUUAAUGAGGGAGGCAUUAAUGGGGAAACACUGGACCACUUCUGAGAGAUGUGGUGCCCUCCCUCACAAACAGGUUUCUUGUGGUGAAAUCAGGUUGGAAGGAUAAGAGAGGCUGAAGAAGGUGGAGGUGGUGUAGUUGGGCCUGUUUAGGAACUGAUUACAUCUGAGCCUCUGGCCCUUUUUCCUGCCAGCUGACUCAGAGCUGGCAGAUGGGCCAAAGUCCAGGCAGGUUGAUUUCAUGGGCUGUAUACUUCAAAGGAUCUGAUUCCUGGUGCUACUAAGCACAUUGCUUUUCCGAAGGCACAGUCUUGUGGGGGAGGGAACAGGAUGGUCUCCAUGAGGUGUUUGUGAAAGCCCUAGGCAAUGUUUGCUCUAAUCCAAAUAUAUACAGCUUGUUUUGAGUUUGGCAAUAAAACACAGAGCCAGCCCUAAGCAGGGCUGAAAACUGAGUAUUUAAACCUUAAGUAUUCUGCAAUACAACAACAGUUAAGUAUAUGGGUCCUAGAGUCAGAUAGAACUGAAAUCUAAUCUUGACUUCACCACUCAGCUGUAGAUAAAUUACUAGACCUCAGUUUUCUUGUUCGUGAAAUGGGGAUUUUAGUUAUAGAGUACCUACUUCAUAUGGUUGUCGUGAGGAUUAAACAAAAAUGUAUACCACAGUACCUGAGAUGUAGUAAACACUCUUGAAACAUUAGUCAUUAUUCAUUUUUUAAAUUUUUCCUUCAAAUACUUUCCUAUCCAAUAGUCAUUAUUCAUUGAAAACUUCUAUUUUAUAAGACGAUCUCAGCACUUAAACAAAAUAAAUUGAUUCAUCAUGUUUUCACUUAACAGGCAUUCAAAAGGCAUUUAUUAUUGUGUUGGGUAGAUGGAUGGAGAAAAUAGCAAUAAUUUUUGUUGAACACCUAAAAUGAGCCAAACUUUUUAAAAAAUAUUGUCUCAUUUUAUGCUCACAACAGCUCUAUGAAGUAUUUUCCUAUAUUAUAGAUGAGAUCAUGGGCCAAGAGAGGAUUAGCAACAUGCCUAAGAUCAUAUAGUCAGCACUGUCUAAUUCUGAAGCCUAUGAAUAAGGUAGCAUUUAUCCCCACGGAAGCAUGGUAUUCAGCAGGCAGGCAGACACAUAAACAAGUACAGCUGGCCCAUCUAGCCUCACGUUCUGCAUCCAUGGAUUCAACCAAAAAUGGAUUUAAAAUAUUGGGGAAAAAACAAAUAAUAAAACAACUAAAAAAUACAAAUUUUAAAAUAUAGUAUAACAACUACUUACAUAGCUUUUACAUUGUAUUAGGUAUUAUAAGUAAUGUAGAGAUGGUUUAAAGUAUACAAGAGAGUCUGGACACAGUGGCUUAUGCCUGUAAUCCCAGCUUUUUGGGAGGCCAAGGUGGGUGGAUCCCUUGAGCCCAGGAGUUUGAGACCAGCCUGAGCAACAAGAUGAAACCCUGUCUCUACAAAAAAUACAAAAAUUAGCCAGAUGUGUUGGUGCAUGCCUGUGGUCCCAGCUACUCGGGAGAGUGAGGUGGGAGAAUCACUUGAGCCUCAGAGAUCGAGGCUGCAGUAAGCUGUAAUCACGCCACUGCACUCCAGCCUGGGUGACAGAGUAAGACCCUGUCUCAAAAGUAAUAAUAAUAAUAAAGUAUACAAGAGGAUGUCAUAUGUUAUAUGCAAAUAUUAUACCUUUUUUUUUUUUUUUUU
rnacentral:lncRNA from 1 species